rnacentral:rRNA from 2 species
GAGUUUUUCCCCUUUCGGGGGGACAAAAGUGACAGGUGGUGCAUGGUUGUCGUCAGCUCGUGUCGUGAGAUGUUGGGUUAAGUCCCGCAACGAGCGCAACCCUUAAGCUUAGUUGCCAUCAUUAAGUUGGGCACUCUAGGUUGACUGCCGGUGACAAACCGGAGGAAGGUGGGGAUGACGUCAAAUCAUCAUGCCCCUUAUGAUUUGGGCUACACACGUGCUACAAUGGAUAAUACAAAGGGCAGCGAACCCGCGAGGUCAAGCAAAUCCCAUAAAAUUAUUCUCAGUUCGGAUUGUAGUCUGCAACUCGACUACAUGAAGCUGGAAUCGCUAGUAAUCGUAGAUCAGCAUGCUACGGUGAAUACGUUCCCGGGUCUUGUACACACCGCCCGUCACACCACGAGAGUUUGUAACACCCGAAGCCGGUGGAGUA